rnacentral:pre_miRNA from 1 species
UUAGCUCAUAUUUGUAUGGAGUUCGAGCCUUUGCGUACGUUUGCCGUUAGGGACGCUGUUCCAACUGCGUACAAAUUUGAAUUA